UACGUAGGGGGCUAGCGUUGUCCGGAAUCAUUGGGCGUAAAGCGCGCGUAGGCGGCCCGGUAAGUCCGCUGUAAAAGUCCAGGGCUCAACCCUGGAAAGCCGGUGGAUACUGUCGGGCUAGAGUGCGGAAGAGGCGAGUGGAAUUCCUAGUGUAGCGGUGAAAUGCGCAGAUAUCAGGAGGAACACCGAUUGCGAAGGCAGCUCGCUGGGACGUAACUGACGCUGAGACGCGAAAGCGUGGGGAGCAAAACAGG
rnacentral:rRNA from 1 species